rnacentral:lncRNA from 1 species
UUGCGAAUCUGGAGUUUGAGCUCGGUGAACUCUUUCACGUACUCUCGGACCGUGCCUCUUUGCUCGAGGCGAUGGAGCUUGCUACGGGCCUCUUGUUGAGCGAACUCGGGGAAAAAGUAGUCCCGGAACUCUCGCACGAAGUCGUCCCAUGUGCACACGGGAUUGGCCCCGCGUCUAACCUCGUCACACCUAUUGCGCCACCAAAGCAUAGCCGUAUCAGCCAGGAACAUGGAAGCGGUUCGUACCUUGAUC